CAUUUAUCAGCCAUAAAUCUCAGGUGACUUUGUGUCCUGGAAUCCUUCAUAGGGUGGAAUCAAAAAGAACCCAGAAGAAAAACACUGCCUUUUAAAAUUGUAUAUCUAGUUGCAGGUCCUUCUAGUUGUGGGAUGUGGGACGCCGCCUCAACGUAGCCUGAUGAGCGGUGCCAUGUCCGCGCCCCAGGAUCCGAACCCUGGGCCGCCGCAGCGGAGCAUGCGAACUUAAUCACUCAGCCACGGAGCCAGCCUCAGAGAAUGGAAUCUGAAAACUGGAGAAGGGAGAGUGAUGGAGACUAAAGCCCAACAAGGAAGAGACUCUCAAGAAAGCAAUAUCUCAGUCCUUUUGCAAAAAACCUGAUCUUCCAAAGAGGAUUCCUGGAUGUAACUUUCCUAGAAAGAUAAAGUAUUCCUCAAGGAUCCAGGAAGGAACUCAAAAGGAAAGAAAAUCAUUCUGGCAAAUUAAAUAAAUAUGGCGGACCUGAUAAUCUAUUGAGGGAAGUGCACAAGAACAAAUACCUUGUACAUCAGAAGUGCUGUAAAGUGGAUUGAACAAAGCACCACGAACAUGUGGAAUUUGCCCCCUUUUCCAAGUUGAUAGAGAAGAUUGACUACUCAUUUUAGUUUCUGAUGCACAUUCUUCUGAAAGUAAACAAGCGUAGUCUGCUUAGACUGUGGUUACUAUUAUUACUUGUCAUCUUCAGAUAUGGGCAGGACAUUCUGAAUAGAUGAUGUUAUGGAAGGCAAGAAGAUUUUCCUAUGCUCCUACACAGUGUGGCUAAGAGUGUGGGAAAAUGGGCACUCAUAUUUUGUGGGUGGUGGGUGUAUCAGAGGAUGUCAGUAGACUCUCCUGGAAGCAAUUUGGUAAUAUGCCCCGUGAAGGCUUUGUGCAUCUUGAUUGCUACUGAAUCCUUAAUGCCUAAAAUUCUACUGGAAUAAAUGCAUAAAUUAAUAAAUGCAAAAAUCCUUAAAAUUUUGCAUAGGCUUUGAUGCACAAAUUUUAAUGAUAAGAGUUAGAAAUCAAAUAAACCUAGUAUUAAGAUUUAGCUGU
rnacentral:lncRNA from 1 species